AUAAUGGGUCAAGGUGUGAAGAUACAGCUUUCAAAUUUCAAAAGAAGCAUGCACAACCUGUAUGGUUAUGUUCCUAAACUGAGUUCUCAGAUCUGAGCAUCCCAUAUGAACUUCAUCCAUUGUCUCAGCUGCGAGCUUGAGAUCUACUUUGAUUAGAAAGGAAUUUGUCCAUCUUCAGUAGCUUCUUUAGCAGAAUUACUUCGUGAGCUUGGGUUUUUCAAAAUAAAAAAAGGUGGUGGAAAUUCUGUCCAAAAACUUUUUAGCUCCUGCUUUGAGCGUGAUGCUUUCUGACUUGCAUGGUCUUGCUUUCCAUCAGCCUCUGAGCCUGUAGUCCUGUACUUUUACACAGCACACUUGCCCUUCAAGAGAAUUAGACAGAUGACGAUGCUUUUCCGAUAGAGUGCCCAGUGGUGUCUAAACCAUGACACAGAGGAUGCUGGUGGAGUCUCAAGGCCGUGGAGUGUCCUGCAGUGUUAGUAAGGAGGGUGCUGGGAUUAUAGAUUUUCAUAGAUUGCACCAGGCAGUUUCCAAAGCUCUUUGUGAUACCUGAGGUGAAAAUUAACAGCAAUUGUAAGAGUUUGGCAUACAUGACGUCUAAUAGCACUGACAAGACUUAGACACCCCCUUCUCUCCUCCUUUGCUCCUCUGAAUGAAAAUGGCUCGAUAGCUCCAGAUGAACUAUUAUUACACGUUAUGUGAAUUUUUGUGAAUUAAACUAAUUUGUCUUUUAAGAAUCCAUUUAUGUAUUUCCUCUCUCUGAACAACUUAUACAAUGGAGCAGACCUAGUAUCUUUGUCAAAUUAUUAGUGCCUCGGGUUUCUAAUUACUAGUUUGAAUCACAUAGCCCUUCUGGUAAAAUGUUGAAUGUACACUAGAAGAAAAAGCAUAAUCAAAAGAAAUAAUAGAUUAUGCAAUAUAUAAAUAGGAUUACCAGCAAUGCAUUCUCAUUUAAGGCAACAUUUAAUACAGUAGUUGUUGCUUUGGGUCCCAUAUCCCAUUUAUUUUGUAUUGGGGGGGGGGAGUGUUAAGUGUUAUCAACAAGUAAAAAAAAAAAGACAACCUCAGAUGACAUUAGUUCUUAACAAAAUUAAAGCAAUGAAGAACAGAAAUUUGCAUGCAUAAAUAAUCGAACGCUUUAUGUAAAAGUAACAACUUUGCCCUGUACUUAAUGCUAUAAUCACAUUCUCUUUAGAAUGAAAGGUUUGCAAUGACACCCUUUACCCAAACUUACUCAGUUUUUAUAACUCCAUUCUCAUGUAAGAGUUGUCAAAAUCCAGUUUUCGUAUAAAAUUAUUUAUUUACUGUUUUAUACAUGAGGGAUAUACUGUAUUGCUCAUUUCUAUAACUUGAGAAACUAUAGAGACUCAAGUAAACAUUAUCAUGGGUUAUUAAAACUGCUGAAAUCUCAGAGUGCAUUAGAGGAUUUGAAGGGAAGAGCAUUCAUAGCUGUGACAUAGGAGACUGGUGAUGCCAAGUCCUCACCGAGCCUAGCUGUGUUCUCCCCUUCCUUUCUAAUGAGUUUUCAGCAACAUAUUACUACAAACAGAAAUGUUUUAUAGGUGAAUUUUACCAUAGUAGGA